GGGUGAGUAACACGUGGGUGAUCUGCCCUGCACUCUGGGAUAAGCCUGGGAAACUGGGUCUAAUACCGGAUAGGACCAUGCUUGAGUGUGUGUGGUGGAAAGUUUUUCGGUGUAGGAUGAGCCCGCGGCCUAUCAGCUUGUUGGUGGGGUAAUGGCUUACCAAGGCAGUGAUACGUAGCCGACUUGAGAGGGUGAUCGGCCACACUGGGACUGAGACACGGCCCAG
rnacentral:rRNA from 1 species